rnacentral:lncRNA from 1 species
AAGAGUCUUAUAGCCAAGGAAUCAAAAACUCAAUUCCUAAAAUACCACCUUAGUCGGGCUCAGCAAAGAAUGAUCUCUUAAGCCAACCAUCGUAGAUCAGAUAGGCAGUUCUAAAUAGGUGAUUGGGUCUACCAAAAGAUCCAACCUUAUAGACAAUUCACUAUGUCUGCAACUCCUUUUUCAAAACUAGCAUCCAGAUACUAUGGGACUUAUCAAAUCAUUCAGAAAGUUAGUGCAAUUUCCUACAAAUUGAACCUUCCUUCCAACAUCACCAUACACC